CUGACACACUGCUGGUGCUGUCUAUUUUACAUGUAUCUUUGAAAAACAAGAUUAUUAUCUUGGCAGCACAACAAACUGUAUUUGAUAUAGCCAUUGCCUUCUAUCAAGGACUGUAGCAGAGACAAACUGAGAUUAUUUAGGUAAUCGAUUUUUUGUCUGCAUAUGUAAGAUUCUAGGUUAAGUUAAUUCAUUUUUUUUUUCUAUUAAAAACUGCGCUAUUUUGAAAGGCUUCAUUUACAUUCCAGCUGGAGUGAAGGUUUUAUUUUCUAGCAUUUUCCCUCCAUUAAUCAGAGCUAGAUGCAAUUUAUACCACCUUCAAAGAGCCUGUAAAAAGAUAAAGAAAAAAUGGUAAUCAGAUGGCAAAAUCCAGAGAGAAAAAUUAGACUCAAAUUAAUUAUUUCAAUGUGCAUGACUUCUAUGGCAUUGCCAAUGUAAAUCUAUGCAGUAGGUCACCACAGCGGAAUCCACAGUGGGCUUGUUUUGCCCAGCUGUCCUGAAUACCUAGGAAAUGACCACUGUGGUCCAUGUUAUGGAGAUAGAGAAGCAGAUGAGACCUUUUUCAGCCCAGACAGCUGGGUAGCUGGUGCCAGCCGAAGCACUGUGGAGCACCAGUCCUGUGUGGAGCACCAGUGCUACCAAUUGUUUUCAACCUUCCUGCUAGACAGAUCUAAGACAGCCUGGGCACAUAGAGAGGCAGAUGGUCCAUAACAUAUGGUGUUCAUCAUCUGGGGCCAAAAAAACUGUCUGUCGGAGGGAUGGAAGGAAACACCAAACUUUCCUAUGGUGCAAUGCAGGAGUGAUCUGAUGUCAUCUAACUGGAAAACUUGGCUUACUCCUACAAACACACAGGUAGUUGAAGUGCCUGCUGCAGAUGUUUGGCUACAACACCCAUCCUGGGUGCAUCCGUAUUCAGCAUACCAUGGAAGAAGUGACUCAAGGAAGCACAAAAGUCCUGAAGAUGGUAAGUAGAGGAGCCCCCUUUCAUGAAUGUAGUCAUGAUACUUAUAUCCAGAAACAAUUUCAGGGAUGUAAUU
rnacentral:lncRNA from 1 species